GUUGUCCGGAAUCAUUGGGCGUAAAGAGCGUGUAGGCGGUCCAGUAAGUCCGCUGUGAAAGUCAAGGGCUCAACCCUUGAAAGCCGGUGGAUACUGCUGGACUAGAGUCCGGAAGAGGCGAGUGGAAUUCCUGGUGUAGCGGUGAAAUGCGCAGAUAUCGGGAGGAACACCAAUGGCGAAGGCAGCUCGCUGGGACGGUACUGACGCUGAGGCGCGAAAGCGUGGGGAGCGAACAGG
rnacentral:rRNA from 1 species